GUUCAACGGCCGCGGUAUUUUAACCGUGCAAAGGUAGCGCAAUCAUUUGUCUCUUAAAUAGAGACCUGUAUGAAUGGCCAAACGAGGGCUUUACUGUCUCCUUUUUCCUGUCAAUGAAAUUGAUCUCCCCGUGCAGAAGCGGGGAUAAUGUCAUAAGACGAGAAGACCCUAUGAAGCUUUAGACCCUAAAAGAGACUAUGUCAAUUACCCCACUUUUUAAUGGAUCAAACUCAAUAGUUUAACUCUUUCAAUGUCUUUGGUUGGGGCGACCGCGGGGAAAUAAAUAACCCCCAUGUGGAAAGGGAGAAUCUUAAAUCCUCCUACAACCCAGAGCUACAACUCUAAGUAACAAAAUCUUUUUGACCUAUAUGAUCCGGCAAAGCCGAUCAACGAACCGAGUUACUCUAGGGAUAACAGCGCAAUCCUCUUUUAGAGCCCAUAUCGACAAGAGGGUUUACGACCUCGAUGUUGGAUCAGGACAUCCUAAUGGUGCAGCCGCUAUUAAGGGU
rnacentral:rRNA from 1 species